rnacentral:rRNA from 1 species
UACGUAGGGCGCAAGCGUUGUCCGGAAUUAUUGGGCGUAAAGAGCUCGUAGGCGGUCUGUCGCGUCUGUUGUGAAAACUCGAGGCUCAACCUCGGGCUUGCAGUGGAUACGGGCAGACUAGAGUGCGGUAGGGGAGACUGGAAUUCCUGGUGUAGCGGUGGAAUGCGCAGAUAUCAGGAGGAACACCGGUGGCGAAGGCGGGUCUCUGGGCCGAUACUGACGCUGAGGAGCGAAAGCGUGGGGAGCGAACAGG